AACGGCCGUACCAUGCGGAAUAUACCGGUUCUCGUUAGAUCACCGAAGUCAAGCAUCAUUGGGCGCGGUCAGUACUUGGGUGGGUGACCACCUGGGAACACUGCGUGCCGUU
rnacentral:rRNA from 1 species